rnacentral:rRNA from 1 species
GAUGAACGCUGGCGGCGUGCCUAAUACAUGCAAGUCGAGCGAAUGGAUUAAGAGCUUGCUCUUAUGAAGUUAGCGGCGGACGGGUGAGUAACACGUGGGUAACCUGCCCAUAAGACUGGGAUAACUCCGGGAAACCGGGGCUAAUACCGGAUAACAUUUUGAACCGCAUGGUUCGAAAUUGAAAGGCGGCUUCGGCUGUCACUUAUGGAUGGACCCGCGUCGCAUUAGCUAGUUGGUGAGGUAACAGCUCACCAAGGCAACGAUGCGUAGCCGACCUGAGAGGGUGAUCGGCCACACUGGGCCUGAGACACGGCCCAGACGCCUACGGGAGGCAGCAGUAGGGAAUCUUCCGCAAUGGACGAAAGUCUGACGGAGCAACGCCGCGUGAGUGAUGAAGGCUUUCGGGUCGUAAAACUCUGUUGUUAGGGAAGAACAAGUGCUAGUUGAAUAAGCCGGCACCUUGACGGUACCUAACCAGAAAGCCACGGCUAACUACGUGCCAGCCGCCGCAGUAA